rnacentral:misc_RNA from 1 species
UCCAGCUCGUCGCUGGCAGUCCCCGAAGAGUGCUCAGCGUCCUUUCGGACCUGGUGGCAACAUCGGGCAAUGGUUGCGCUCGUUUUGGCACUUAAGCCAACACCUCACGGCACGAGCUGACGACAGCCAUGCAGCACCUGUGCAAGCUCUCGACUGGUUACGAGUCGUGGCCCUUUCAGGUUCCUACUUCUUGCAUGUCAAGCCUAGGUAAGGUUCUUCGCGUAGCAUCGAAUUGAACCACAUGUUCCACCGCUUGUGCUGGCCCCCGUCAAUUCCUUUGAGUUUCAACCUUGCGGUCGUACUCCCCAGGUGGGUCACUUAACAGGUUACCUACGGCACUGAACCCCAGACGGGGCCCAACACCUAGUGACCAUAGUUUACGGCUAGGACUAC